rnacentral:rRNA from 1 species
UAGGGAAUCUUCGGCAAUGGACGGAAGUCUGACCGAGCAACGCCGCGUGAGUGAAGAAGGUUUUCGGAUCGUAAAGCUCUGUUGUAAGAGAAGAACGAGUGUGAGAGUGGAAAGUUCACACUGUGACGGUAUCUUACCAGAAAGGGACGGCUAACUACGUGCCAGCAGCCGCGGUAAUACGUAGGUCCCGAGCGUUGUCCGGAUUUAUUGGGCGUAAAGCGAGCGCAGGCGGUUAGAUAAGUCUGAAGUUAAAGGCUGUGGCUUAACCAUAGUACGCUUUGGAAACUGUUUAACUUGAGUGCAAGAGGGGAGAGUGGAAUUCCAUGUGUAGCGGUGAAAUGCAUAGAUAUAUGGAGGAACACCGGUGGCGAAAGCGGCUCUCUGGCUUGUAACUGACGCUGAGGCUCGAAAGCGUGGGGAGCAAACAGG